rnacentral:rRNA from 1 species
CGUGUAGGCGGCUAGGCAAGUCGAGUGUGAAAUCCCAGGGCUCAACCCUGGAACUGCACCCGAAACUGCUUAGCUAGAGUCCCGGAGAGGGUGGCGGAAUUUCCGGUGUAGAGGUGAAAUUCGUAGAUAUCGGAAGGAACACCAGUGGCGAAGGCGGCCACCUGGACGGUGACUGACGCUGAGACGCGAAAGCGUGGGGAGCAAACAGGAUUAGAUACCCUGGUAGUCC